UGGGGAAUAUUGGACAAUGGGGGCAACCCUGAUCCAGCAAUGCCGCGUGUGUGAAGAAGGUCUUCGGAUUGUAAAGCACUUUCGACGGGGACGAUGAUGACGGUACCCGUAGAAGAAGCCCCGGCUAACUUCGUGCCAGCAGUCGCGGUAAUACGAAGGGGGCUAGCGUUGCUCGGAAUGACUGGGCGUAAAGGGCGUGUAGGCGGUUUACACAGUCAGAUGUGAAAUCCCCGGGCUUAACCUGGGAGCUGCAUUUGAUACGUGUAGACUAGAGUGUGAGAGAGGGUUGUGGAAUUCCCAGUGUAGAGGUGAAAUUCGUAGAUAUUGGGAAGAACACCGGU
rnacentral:rRNA from 1 species